rnacentral:rRNA from 1 species
GACGAACGCUGGCGGCGUGCUUAACACAUGCAAGUCGAACGGAAAGGCCCUGCUUUUGUGGGGUGCUCGAGUGGCGAACGGGUGAGUAACACGUGAGUAACCUGCCCUUGACUUUGGGAUAACUUCAGGAAACUGGGGCUAAUACCGGAUAGGAGCUCCUGCUGCAUGGUGGGGGUUGGAAAGUUUCGGCGGUUGGGGAUGGACUCGCGGCUUAUCAGCUUGUUGGUGGGGUAGUGGCUUACCAAGGCUUUGACGUGUAGCCGGCCUGAGAGGGUGACCGGCCACAUUGGGACUGAGAUACGGACCAGACUCCUACGGGAGGCAGCAGUGGGGAAUAUAGCACAAUGGGCGGAAGCCUGAUGCAGCAACGCCGCGUGCGGGAUGACGGCCUUCGGGUUGUAAACCGCUUUCGCCUGUGACGAAGCGUGAGUGACGGUAAUGGGUAAAGAAGCACCGGCUAACUACGUG